rnacentral:rRNA from 1 species
GUGUCAGCAGCCGCGGUAAUACGUAUGGUGCGAACGUUGUUCGGAAUCACUGGGCAUAAAGAGCACGUAGGCGGUUAAGCAAGUCCAUUGUGAAAUCCCCCGGCUUAACCGGGGAACCGCAGUGGAUACUACUUGACUUGAGUACAGGAGGGGAGAGUGGAAUUCCAGGUGGAGCGGUGAAAUGCGUAGAUAUCUGGAGGAACGCCGGUGGCGAAAGCGACUCUCUGGUCUGUAACUGACGCUGAGGUGCGAAAGCUAGGGGAGCAAACGGGAUUAGAUACCCUAGUAGUCC